GGAUAAGGUCUGUGCUCAGGCUUUCAGUACGAUGUAAGGUACCACAUCGUCAUCACGUGUCCUGCGGACACGGAACUGUUACGGAUUGUACGAAUUAGCGAUCCACACGGCAUAGGCC
rnacentral:sRNA from 12 species